CCUUGAAAUACCAGCCUGGCAUCAUUGGCGUUCUCACUCAGGUCCGUUAUCCGGAUCGAGGACAGUGUGUGGUGGGUAGUUUGACUGGGGCGGUCUCCUCCCAAAGCGUAACGGAGGAGCACGAAGGUACCCUCAGCACGGUCGGACAUCGUGCAAUGAGUGCAAGAGCAUAAGGGUGCUUGACUGCGAGACAGACACGUCGAGCAGGUGCGAAAGCAGGUUCUAGUGAUCCGGUGGUUCUGUAUGGAAGGGCCAUCGCUCAACGGAUAAAAGGUACUCCGGGGAUAACAGGCUGAUACCGCCCAAGAGUUCACAUCGACGGCGGUGUUUGGCACCUCGAUGUCGGCUCAUCACAUCCUGGGGCUGAAGUCGGUCCCAAGGGUAUGGCUGUUCGCCAUUUAAAGUGGUACGCGAGCUGGGUUUAGAACGUCGUGAGACAGUUCGGUCCCUAUCUGCCGUGGGCGUUGGAUGUUUGAGAAGGGCUGCUCCUAGUACGAGAGGACCGGAGUGGACGCACCUCUGGUGUUCCGGUUGUCACGCCAGUGGCAUUGCCGGGUAGCUAUGUGCGGACGGGAUAACCGCUGAAAGCAUCUAAGCGGGAAGCCCCCUUCAAGAUGAGACAUCCCUGAGGCCUAGAGCCUCCUGAAGGGCCCAGCGAGACCAGCUGGUUGAUAGGCACGGUGUGGAAGCGCUGCAAGGCGUUGAGCUAACGUGUACUAAUGGCCCGUGAGGCUUGACCCU
rnacentral:rRNA from 1 species